GAUGAACGCUAGCGGCAGGCUUAAUACAUGCAAGUCGUGGGGCAGCAUGAAGUAGCAAUACUUUGAUGGCGACCGGCAAACGGGUGCGGAACACGUACACAACCUUCCUUCGAGUGGGGAAUAGCCCAGAGAAAUUUGGAUUAAUACCCCGUAAUAUAACGAUGUGGCAUCACAUUGUUAUCAAAGCUUCGGCGCUUAAAGAUGGGUGUGCGUAUGAUUAGAUAGUUGGCGAGGUAACGGCUCACCAAGUCUACGAUCAUUAGCUGAUGUGAGAGCAUGAUCAGCCACACGGGCACUGAGACACGGGCCCGACUCCUACGGGAGGCAGCAGUAAGGAAUAUUGGUCAAUGGACGAAAGUCUGAACCAGCCAUGCCGCGUGAAGGAUUAAGGUCCUCUGGAUUGUAAACUUCUUUUAUAUGGGACGAAAAAAGGCUUUUCUAAGCCCCUUGACGGUACCAUAUGAAUAAGCACCGGCUAACUCCGUGCCAGCCGCCGCAGUAAGAC
rnacentral:rRNA from 1 species